GAACAGUGCCUGCCUGGAGUUUGAUAACAAAAAACUUCUGCAAAAAGAUGUCUUCUGUGUGAGCACCAAAACAGCUCCUGAGUGACGGGGGAGGAACUCUGGAGAAGAUGUCUGCCCCUGGCUGGUUUUGGUCGGAAGGUAGGCAAUAAGAGCCACAGCUACCCCGACGUAGAUGCCAGUUCCGAUUGUGAUGGACAGGACAGCCAGGAAGAGAGCUCGCCGGGAGCUGGAGCUUGCGUGGUGGAAAUCCCCCUUGGCUACUGCUUUGUUUGUCUGCAAGAGAUACAACAACAACAACGCCACAAGUUUAUUUGUUUUACCUGGUGGAAUAAAGCUGUACUUCGUGACUUGGAAAUAAAACUACAAGAUCAAAAGGACAAAGAGGAAUGAAGAGGAAAUUAUACAAGACACUUAUAAAGUUCCCUGGCCCAUGACCUCACCCAGGAUGCAGUCUCUGCUGGUACACAACAUACUCUAAAUGGCCAUUUCCUUGUGCAGACAAACAUUUCUCUGGAGACAUCUACCCAAAGGGAAAAGUUGGCAGGAGCAACGUCCAUGCACACGCAAAGCACUGGCUGGCAGCCAGCUCCCACUUGGACAGAUGAGAACUGGAGAUGCUGGGAACUCAUCAGCCCCAUUUCAGAACAGCUAUCUCUGUCUGCAGAACUGCCUGGGGGAAGAGGGGAGGAGAUCCUCUUCUACCCAACCCGGGAUGAAGCUUUCCUCUCUUCUCCCAAAGGACCAGAAGUCGCAAACUUCUUGAAUGUCUUAAACCACAACACAAGCUUUUUGCGAGGCCGAGGAUGUCACCCAAAUGUCCCUAACCAGGGGCCAGGGUCAUCUAUUUCUGAGCUGCUCUUCCAAGCACAGGAAAGCCAGCACUCUCUGAUGGUGACAUGUGUACCUGGCUCCUUCAGCAGGCAGCUUCUCUCUGUGUCGUGGCUGGGAAGAGAAGCCUUGCUAUUUUAUUCCCCUCUGCCUGGCAAAUCUACCACCUGCCUGAUGGCAGUAAGGGGAGGAGAGUGGGCAAGCAGCCAGCUGUGACCUCCUGCAAGAAGUCCAUGUCCUGGUGGCCUCCCAGGACCAGGGCUCUCAUGUGAGUACAGUGGCCACAGUGCCAGCACUGUGCCAUCUCAGCAAGACAGCAGCACUGAGCUCCUCUAGGACAACUUCUACAAAAGACCCUGGCAGUUCCUUGUGAGGAGGAACUCUUUUUAAACUAUUUUCACUCAUUCCUAGCACAACCGGGUUUAAUUGUUUUACAGAUCACCUUUUGCAGCAGAAAAAUUACAACAGUUCAGAAGGGUAAAAGGGCACCUGGGUGUGCCUGUACUCACAUGCAGAGAGCUGGACAAAGAACUCAGGGAUUUGCUUUUGGAGCGAGCAGCACAGAGAGCUCAAACCUUUGUGUGACAGUCAGCAGAGACUGGGCUGGGCAGCCCCAGAGUACACCCAGUGCCCUUUACCCAAUCUCUGUGACUCAAAGCAGCAGCCCUGCUUAAGCAAAAGAAUGGUGUGACUUGGUAUCUGGUCCAAGACAGCAAAACAAAGGCCUUUUAUUUUUAUUAAAGCUCAUCAUCUUUAGACAGCUCUUUUGUUCAAGCAUUACUUGGACCAAGAAAUAAUGCAGUGUGGAAAAAUCUCUUGAAAAUGCAAAAGCCUCCUGUCUGCUGUGCUAGCAUUGCUUCAGCAGUGCUGACCAGCAUAUCCUGCAAGUAUAGAUCUUGGCAUGUCACUGCCAAGUAAAGAAAAAUACCACAUUUCUUGUUCUUCCUUUGCCUUUUCUUCUUUGAUAUAAGAGGUUGCUGCAUCCCCUGUACAAACACACGCUCCUGGCUGCGUGUCAAGCUCUUUAUAAUAGACCAUAUUCAUUUUUUUACGGAGUAAAGUGGGACAGAUAAGAAAAAAAAGCAGGGUGGAUGGAUAAGAGCAGGGCAUCACCAGCCAGUGUGGUGGAGUGUGGCAGAUCAUACUGCUGUUCUGUCUCAUUGUUCUCCCUGUUGAUAUGGGGCCUAUGAGCCAACUUUCUAAGGAACAAACAGCAGAUAACACCUGGCUGGUAUUUCUCUCUCCUCUUCUUUUGAAGUUGGAUGUCAAAACCUUAUGCCAGAAAAGCAAGGACAGUGAAAUCCAUACAUGUAUGCUGAGCACUGAAACGCUGAAAAAAGCUAGAAUUCAUAUUAUUUUCUACCUUGCAGUGGGAACACGAACCUUCUUUCCUUCUCCCCAGCGACUACUGAAAUAUGUCAGAAUACAGAUAUUUUCCUAAAGCCCCUGUCUCUGAAAACUGGAUGAAAAGCAACCAAACUUCAGAAGUUAUCACGAAGAAAGACAAGCUACUCUUUUUUUUCUGCUCACGUAGGCCUUGUUUCCCUGUGAAAACUGUAGAAAAUCCUUUAACCCAGUGAGACAAUGCGAGCAAAUAAUUACAAAGCUUUGCAUCCCCGCAUCCCCCUGCGAGGGAGGUAAUUACAGCAGGGAGCCAGAGCAGCAGAAGGGAAGUGAUUGCUCCCUCAUGCUCCCAGUGCAGUCUGCUGCCUGGCAGGUCUCACCUGCUGCUGGGGAGGAGGGAGGGUGUGGAGGCUAUUUGAGAACCUAAGCACGUGGAGAAGUGUGCAGAGGGAUUUUUUCCAGGUGUGUGUCCAGGUGAGUGGCACAGGUCCUAGGAAGGUUCAUGGGAGUUGGGUGCACACUCUUGUUUCUGCCUAUAAGGGAGCAGGCACAAAGUGAAGCUCAUUCAUAGCAUCAAAGGCUCAGCCCUCUCAUAAUGAAUUUCUGUUUACAGUAGGGAGGGAAACGUGUGACAUGGUAUUGCUCUCUUUCCUAAAAAUAAAAGCAGGGAGAAAAAGAGGAUUCAUGCAAAAAGACCUUUCAAGAUUGUUAUCACCACCCCCCAGCCCAAGCAGAGAGCCUGACAGCCCCUGAGAAAUCAUCUGACAAGUUCAACGGUAAACUUGACAAGACAAAAAAGAUAUAUUUUUAAAGUUCUUUCUUUGAUUUAUGAGGCUUCACACUUGCCUACAAUCUACAAUGCUAAAAAUAUCUUUGGAAAUAAAAACUGAGGAACCCGCAAGACUCCAGAGGGUGGAGAUUUAUGAAAAAAUAAACAUAAUGAGGUGGGUUUUUGAUCACACACUGCUAGUUGGGGAAGAGUUUUUGGUGAAAGACAUAAUUUAUUUUCCUCUUUCCAAAAGUUUCCUUACAAAAUGCACAAAAAACUCCUUUGAUUGAGCUCUUCAACUGUUGACUAAUGAGACAAUCCAAAAAAUGGCAAGCCUAAAAACUCACAUGACUCAUUCUGGAGAAGCAAAUGUGAGAGAAAACAGGACACAGGGCCCCAUCCUGAGAGUGGAGCUGAGAGGAGCACAGGACUGGGCAGCUAGAGGAAGUGGGGGCAAGACUCUUGUGGGAAGGAAAACACAAAUAAAACCAGAAGGAAAUAACUGAACAAGUGGACAGCACAGUGAUGGCCUCAAAGCUCUGUGUUUUUCUGAGGGAAGAUGAAAAGCAGCAAGUUCCAGCUUUGCCUGGGAUAAGAUCACCAGGCGACAUCCUGCCUGGAAAACUGGAUAUCCCAAUGGGAAAAAAAAAACAUGUUGAGCUUUCAUAAAUUGCAUUUCUGAAUUCACUGCUCCUCCCUGCUGGCUCACCUGUGGAUGCACAUCUUCACUGCCACCACAGAGGCAGACCCUGCAUGGCUGCACCCCUCAAUGCACAGGCUCUGCAAGAAGCCCCAGGUCAGCAGCACAUUGGCAAGAGCCUUGGCGGAGACAGCAGAUCCCACACAGAGCAGAAACAUCACCUGCAGGAGAAACUUGGCUUUCAUGGAGCACAAACCCCCCCAGAAUUCAAUCAUUCUGUUGGUAAGGAGCACCUCUGCUGCCUUACAGCAUCCAGCCUUGUGUAAUUGUUUUGCAGCAUGACACAGGCGUAUGCGUCAUAAGCGUGCUGGCAGGUGAUGCAGGAACACACAGAGCACCUAUGCCUGUGGAUUGAGCUGUACUGCAGAUACAUCUGCUGCAAACAAAGGCUUCAUCUUCAAAUGCGUCCCACACCUAGAGCAGACCAGAUUUUUAAAACAAAAUUCACUGCCAGUGCUGUAUACUGCAUCAAAGAACCCAUCCCCCGUCUCUGGAUUUCCUGCGUGCUAUGAUUUAUUCCCAGAUGGCCUUUUUGGUACAACUGCUCAGGAAACUUUGGAAAACACAGAAUUUUCAAGAGCUCAAGCAACUGCAGAAAAAGAGGACAACCACUAAUUGUUACAGAGGCUUCCCAGAGCAAAGACAGACUGUUCAUUUGAAGUAAAAGCAAAAAACAACAACAACAACAAAAAGUAGCUCUCUGUCUCUUUUUGAGUUUUUGGUUUUUGAUCUUGAAGAGCAGGAUUCUUCAGAUCUGAAGAGCCUGCUCUAGUUUGACAAAUCAGCAGGGCUGGUAGAUGUUUAGUGCAGGCAGAUUAGAAAGACAGCUGAGAGGGUGAAUGUGAAGGGUGCUGUGGAGCAGAGACUGUAGUUUGCAAUAGGCACUAGAGAGAAAUAUAAUCAAAUGUUUCCUCGCAGUCGCUGAUGAGGCUGCCAGUGUGACGCCUUCUCUGUCACCUCACAUUAUCUGCCAUGCUGGGAAACUCAGUAAUUACACUGCAGACACUUAUGAAGACAUACUUGUUGAAACAAAUGAUGGGCACGAGGUGAUUGCGAGUUAAGCAAUGUUAAGACUGCCUCGUGAAGAAAACAAACCAAAACACAGUCACUUCUUUGCUAAAAAAGAUAUUUGCAUAUUAAAAUUUGAAAGGGAGAACUGACUGAGCAGUUUUUCCUUUUCCAUGGGAAAGGAAAUGGUUUCUGGAAAGCAAAUUCACAUCUGCAGAACAGAAAUUAUUUUUAUACUCCUGGAAGGAUAUUCUAGAUUAUCAGCUUGGGACAAGUAGAACUGUUUUCCCAAUGGGAAAGCCAAGCAUUUGUGCAAUCAAUGGUGUUUUCUAUUAAAAAGCCAUCUCCACAGAGGAUUCUUAGCUGGACAUAUAACCUGACAUUUGCCAACUAAAAGCUAAAAUAAUUUGCAGACACCUCCCUCAGUGAAGUAUCUCAAAAGGCAGCCACCACUACCACAGAGGCACAUCCAGGUGGGGAAGAUGCCUUCCCCUUGAACCACCUCAAGAAUGCCUGGCAGGAGAGGUUUUAACAUUACCUCAUGGGACAGGUAAAAGGCAGCAAUUCCCAGUGGCCAGAAGCAGCAGAGCAUGGAGAACACAGUGAGGCCAAGAUGAUCCCUUGGUGGCAUCAUCAGGAAGUUGUCUUCACUCUCGGUGUCACUCGAGUAAUCGCUCUGGAGCGGCAAAAGAGAAACCCAGAUGUGCUGGUUAAUGACAUUAUUGCUUUUCCUCUGCCAUCAGCCAAUCCCCGGAUCAUUUGCCCACUUCUCCCCCUCCACCACAGCAGUGGCCAGCAGCUCUCCUCUUCCUCACCCACUGCGUCACAGAGUCCAUCACUGUUGCAUGAGCUUGAAAGCAAGAAAAGACAAAUGUAAAGAUAUCGCUGCAGGGAGCUGAAAAGGAAGCCCACUAAAGGAGGGGGCUCUGUAGUCAGACGAAUAUUUCCUUUCAAAAAUACAGGAGGAGAAGGAGAUGGAGAAAAUCCACAGCAUUGCUGAAACCACCCCUUGAAACUGUGCACUCACCUGAACAGGCCAAAUUGACCCACCUAGGAGUUACCAAGUGUGAGAGAACAAUUCUAAUCAUAAAGUCCUGACCAUGCAGACCAACUGUGAACCAGAAGGGUGAAAAAAAGUCAGAAAUCCCAGAAAGAAAUCCAACAGCAAAAGGUACCUCAACUCUUCCAGUUAACACUCCUUUCCCCAAGCAAACCUUCCUUCUCAACAUUCUCUCUCACAACAGGACACCUCAUCCUGAGCUUACCAAGAAAUCUUCUCCAUUCAGAACCCCUCCUGACAUUGGGAUCAUUGAUAAUUUGGCUACCUAGCUCUCUGUCUUCACUUAUUCCUGGACCUGCAAGAACUGCACCCUGACACUGAAGAAGCUGGAUAUUAUUCUUGUUGAGAAGUCAGAAUUAUAUUCAUUAGUUAGAGUUCCCUUCCCUUCCCUUCCCUUCCCUUCCCUUCCCUUCC